rnacentral:rRNA from 1 species
UACAGAGGUCUCAAGCGUUUGUUCGGAUUCAUUGGGCGUAAAGGGUGCGUAGGCGGCGCGGUAAGUCGGGUGUGAAAUCCCCGGGCUCAACCCGGGAACUGCGUCCGAUACUGGCAGGCUUGAAUCCGGGAGAGGGAUGCGGAAUUCCAGGUGUAGCGGUGAAAUGCGUAGAUAUCUGGAGGAACACCGGUGGCGAAGGCGGCAUCCUGGACCGGCAUUGACGCUGAGGCGCGAAAGCCAGGGGAGCAA